GAACUGCGAUAAGUAAUGUGAAUUGCAGAAUUCAGUGAAUCAUCGAGUCUUUGAACGCACAUUGCGCCCCCUGGCAUUCCGGGGGGCAUGCCUGUCCGAGCGUCAUUGCUGCCCUUCAAGCCCGGCUUGUGUGUUGGGUCGUCGUCCCCUCCGGGGGACGGGCCCGAAAGGCAGCGGCGGCACCGCGUCCGGUCCUCGAGCGUAUGGGGCUUUGUCACCCGCUCGAUAAGGACCGGCCGGGCGCCAGCCGGCGUCUCCAACCUUUUUCUCUCAGGUUGACCUCGGAUCAGGUAGGGAUACCCGCUGAACUUAAGC
rnacentral:misc_RNA from 1 species